rnacentral:rRNA from 1 species
AGUGAACGCUGGCGGUAGGCCUAACACAUGCAAGUCGAACGGCAGCACAGUAAGAGCUUGCUCUUACGGGUGGCGAGUGGCGGACGGGUGAGGAAUACAUCGGAAUCUACUUUUUCGUGGGGGAUAACGUAGGGAAACUUACGCUAAUACCGCAUACGACCUACGGGUGAAAGCAGGGGAUCUUCGGACCUUGCGCGAUUGAAUGAGCCGAUGUGGGAUUAGCUAGUUGGCGGGGUAAAGGCCCACCAAGGCGACGAUCCGUAGCUGGUCUGAGAGGAUGAUCAGCCACACGGGAACUGAGACACGGUCCAGACUCCUACGGGAGGCAGCAGUGGGGAAUAUGAGACAAUGGGCGCAAGCCUGAUCCAGCCAUACCGCGUGGGUGAAGAAGGCCUUCGGGUUGUAAAGCCCUUUUGUUGGGAAAGAAAAGCAGCAGGUUAAUACCACGCUGUUCUGACGGUACCCAAAGAAUAAGCACCGGCUAACUUCGUG